UGCAAUUAAUGAUUAAGGAAUAUUAGAUUCUACAUGAUAUGAUAUGAUGUCGUUGAGUUCGUUCUACCAUUUGCAUUUGCAAAUCAAGAAAGCAUUUGCUAGUAAACACAAGAAACUGACCACAAGAGUUGUAUUUGCUCGUGACUACUUUCUUUUCUUUGUUUAUAGAAUUAUUGAGUUGGACACUAUAAAACUUACAUUCAAGUUACUUAUUUUAUUAAACAUGAGCUGAAAGUUACUUUUUAUUAUAACAUAAUUCUCCGAUGCAUAUCAGCUUAGCUGCACUUAUGCGGUUGGUUUUGCUUCAUCUCUGGUGUCCAGCUCCCUACCUUGACCUCACUACAUUCUCACUUCAAGCUAUGCCUUUAGCCUGCUUCAAUCCAAGUACAAAGGCUAGCAAGCUAGUUGCCACAAAUGAACUUCUGGGUCAAAAAGGAACCAGAUGAACGCCCCAUCGGUUCCGGCCAAAUGACUCAAUCUCUCUCUUGGACGGUUCCCGAAUCCUCAGGUCUAAACUUAACUUUCAAAUUUUAAGCACAAUCAGACAUCUAUAUAUCCUCCUUUGUCCAUAUA
rnacentral:lncRNA from 1 species